rnacentral:lncRNA from 1 species
GAAUAGCCUUGAGCCAGGCUUGUGUAAUUCCUAUUUUAUUGCUGCACCAAGUGAGGAAAGAAUACCAGGCAGAGGAGGUGGUCUCUUAAGUGGAGGGAAUACAAAGCCCCCAGAAGUGAUGUGACUCCUCCCAGUCCAGCCGGCACACAUGGUAGGAGAGAGGAGACUGCACACAUUUCCUUGUUGUCUCUUCAUGCUGAAGGCAGAACUACACAAUCGGAUAGGAGGUAAUGCAGCAACUCACUGGUAGUAAGUUGGAUGCAGCAUGAGGGGAGGGGAAAAGGAAAUAACUAAAACCAAAUAGAAUCAUACAACGAUUUAGUGAGGAAACUGGUCAGUGCUCCAGAUCUGUUUCUCAAAAUGGCCAGUUUCCAGGUGCCCUUACUAUACUGGAGACAGUGCCAAAUGAGCCCUUUCUCUUACUGCAACAUCUGUUUGUCAGGCAGCCAGUAUCUGAAUUCAAUAUUUUCUGCAGAACCGUGCUUUGGAGCUUAUCGACAAGUCUGCAGGUGCUGCUUUUGCUCAAGAAAUGUGCCUGGUCAGAUGAGGCUCACAACCGGCUCUCCUUGCUUUCCUUCACUUAUCAACCACAUUUAAGCAUCAACCUCUGAGAUCAAUACAAAUGUUUUCUCGUUAAAAGUAAGAGGAGGGCAGAGAGGACCAUACACUCAUCCAUCCAGCAAGUCCUGAGGCAGCAGCAUGCAGCUCUGUGACUCUGUGUUGUCUGACCUCCCAGAGCAAUGGUCUGGGCUGCAAGCCCAAAUCACUCAGCCCAAACUCCGUGGUAGUUCCAAUGCCUGCUGUUUCCUUUUAGCCCCGAGGAUCAUCUGUUGCAGGAAUGUCAGCAAUAUUUCCAGCCCUGACACUACCAUGACCACCUUUUUCUUAAAGGAGAACAUCAGUCUACCUACUUAUUGAUCUUCCAAACUUUAUCAUUUUCACAAAUAGAAGUAUCCUUUUUGUCAUCUCUCUUAAGUCCCACUAAGAUGUACACAAAUUCAGUAAUGUGGGCCUAUCUUUGCACAUAGUAUCUCAUGGCAAAAAACAAAAAUCUGAGAGGCAUCUACAGUCUUUGAGUCCAACAACAAAAAAUUGCCCAUGUUCUCUAAUUUUCAGUAGAUUCUUAAAAUAGAACACUGUCAAAAUAGCAGUGUUAGAAGUCUUCCUGCAGUCAAAAUAAACAAUACCUACUGCUCA